CACUGCUGCCCACCUUCUGCCCGGAAUUAACCAGGCUCCUUGGAGAAAUGGCCGGUUCCAGGCGUGGAGCAGGAAAAGUACAAGUUCUUCUAGGAAGCUGUUUUAUCCAAUAAGAUAGAUUGGAGUUUUCAGCCUGGAAGAGGGAGCAAGGUGACCACGCCACAGAGACGCCAGGGUGAAAACGAGCGGGGGUGGAGCCCCGGCCGGGCCCUAGAUGGAGCCGGGUUCCAGGAGGAGAGCGCAUUUAUGAGCCUGUGAGAUGCCCGCGAGCGCCUGGGCCCAGAGGUGCAGAACCGAAGGGCCACCUCACAGCUCACAGACUCUCAGCCUGCUCUUCUCCCAGCCCUGCUUAGCUUGGAGGAAGACUACUUAUUUCUGUCGGCGGUUUCCAGCCCACAGUGCACGCGGUUUGGACAAAGACAAUGGCCAAGCAUUUUGAGAACCUUCUGGUACAAGAUCCCGUGCAGUCACUUCUUUG